AGAGGGGAGGGAUAUGAAGCUAGGUGGGAGCUGAUUGAUGCAUAAGGAGGAGGGAUAUGAAGCUAGGUGGGAGCUGAUUGAUGCAUAAGGAGGAGGGAUAUGAAGCUAGGUGGGAGCUGAUUGAUGCAUAAGGAGGAGGGAUAUGAAGCUAGGUGGGAGCUGAUUGAUGCAUAAGGAGGAGGGAUAUGAAGCUAGGUGGGAGCUGAUUGAUGCAUAAGGAGGAGGGAUAUGAAGCUAGGUGGGAGCUGAUUGAUGCAUAAGGAGGAGGGAUAUGAAGCUAGGUGGGAGCUGAUUGAUGCAUAAGGAGGAGGGAUAUGAAGCUAGGUGGGAGCUGAUUGAUGCAUAAGGAGGAGGGAUAUGAAGCUAGGUGGGAGCUGAUUGAUGCAUAAGGAGGAGGGAUAUGAAGCUAGGUGGGAGCUGAUUGAUGCAUAAGGAGGAGGGAUAUGAAGCUAGGUGGGAGCUGAUUGAUGCAUAAGGGGGAGGGAUAUGAAGCUAGGUGGGAGCUGAUU